CCUACGGGUGGCAGCAGUGGGGAAUAUUGCACAAUGGGGGAAACCCUGAUGCAGCGACGCCGCGUGAGUGAAGACGUAUUUCGGUAUGUAAAGCUCUAUCAGCAGGGAAGAAAAUGACGGUACCUGUCUAAGAAGCACCGGCUAACUACGUGCCAGCGGCCGCGGUAAUACGUAGGGGGCAAGCGGUAUCCGGAUUUACGGGGUGUAAAGGGAGCGUAGACGGCCAGACAAGUCAGAAGGGAAAGCCGAGGGCGCAACCCUGGGACUGAUUUGGAAACUGCCGGGCUGGAGUGCAGGAGAGGUAAGCGGAAUUCCUGGUGUAGCGGUGAAAUGCGUAGAUAUUAGGAGGAACACCGGUGGCGAAGGCGGCUUACUGGACUGUAACUGACGUUGAGGCUCGAAAGCGUGGGGAGCGAACAGGAUUAGAUACCCUUGUAGUC
rnacentral:rRNA from 1 species